rnacentral:rRNA from 1 species
GAUGAACGCUGGCGGCGUGCCUAAUACAUGCAAGUCGAGCGAACGGACGAGAAGCUUGCUUAUCUGAUGUUAGCGGCGGACGGGUGAGUAACACGUGGAUAACCUACCUAUAAGACUGGGAUAACUUCGGGAAACCGGAGCUAAUACCGGAUAAUAUUUUGAACCGCAUGGUUCAAAAGUGAAAGACGGUCUUGCUGUCACUUAUAGAUGGAUCCGCGCUGCAUUAGCUAGUUGGUAAGGUAACGGCUUACCAAGGCAACGAUGCAUAGCCGACCUGAGAGGGUGAUCGGCCACACGGGAACUGAGACACGGUCCAGACUCCUACGGGAGGCAGCAGUAGGGAAUCUUCCGCAAUGGGCGAAAGCCUGACGGAGCAACGCCGCGUGAGUGAUGAAGGUCUUCGGAUCGUAAAACUCUGUUAUUAGGGAAGAACAUAUGUGUAAGUAACUGUGCACAUCUUGACGGUACCUAAUCAGAAAGCCACGGCUAACUACGUG